UACGUAGGGUGCGAGCGUUAAUCGGAAUUACUGGGCGUAAAGAGCGUGUAGGCGGUCAGGUAGGUCUGCUGUGAAAACUCGAGGCUCAACCUCGAGCUGUCGGUGGAAACCAUCUGGCUAGAGUCCGGAAGAGGAGAAUGGAAUUCCUGGUGUAGCGGUGAAAUGCGCAGAUAUCAGGAAGAACACCCGUGGCGAAGGCGGUUCUCUGGGACGGUACUGACGCUGAGACGCGAAAGCGUGGGGAGCAAACAGG
rnacentral:rRNA from 1 species